UUUUCUUUAAAAGAAGAUAAUCCAAUCUGAGUUCUGGGAACUAGGUGAUGGAGCGUGUUCUGAGAACGGACUGAGACCG